rnacentral:rRNA from 1 species
GAGUUUGAUCUUGGCUCAGGAUGAACGCUGGCGGCGUGCUUAACACAUGCAAGUCGAACGAAGCACUCAGGAGCGAUUUCGGUCAAUCCUGUUUGACUGAGUGGCGGACGGGUGAGUAACGCGUGAGUAACCUACCUCGCAGUGGGGAAUAACAGUUGGAAACGACUGCUAAUACCGCAUACGUCCUACGGGAGAAAGCAGGGGACCUUCGGGCCUUGCGCUAUCAGAUGAGCCUAGGUCGGAUUAGCUAGUUGUGGGGUAAUGGCUCACCAAGGCGACGAUCCGUAACUGGUCUGAGAGGAUGAUCAGUCACACUGGAACUGAGACACGGUCCAGACUCCUACGGGAGGCAGCAGUGGGGAAUAUUGGACAAUGGGCG